UUUUGAGUUUGGAAUUCUUCAGGGGUAAAGGGUUUUGAGCUUGGAAUUCUUCAGGGGUAAAGUGUUUUGAGUUUGGAAUUCUUCAGGGGUAGGGUGUUUUGAGUUUGGAAUUCUUCAGGGGUAGGGUGUUUUGAGUUUGGAAUUCUUCAGGGGUAGGGUGUUUUGAGUUUGGAAUUCUUCAGGGGUAGGGUGUUUUGAGUUUGGAAUUCUUCAGGGGUAGGGUGUUUUGAGUUUGGAAUUCUUCAGGGGUAGGGUGUUUUGAGUUUGGAAUUCUUCAGGGGUAGAGUGUUUUGAGUUUGGAAUUCUUCAGGGGUAGGGUGUUUUGAGUUUGGAAUUCUUCAGGGGUAGAGUGUUUUGAGCUUGGAAUUCUUCAGGGGUAAAGAGGUUUGAGAUCGAAAUUUUUCAGAGUUUGGAAUUCUUCAGGGGUAAAGUGUUUUGAGCUUGGAAUUCUUCAGGGGUACAGUGUUUUGAGCUUGGAAUUCUUCAGGGGUACAGUGUUUUGAGCUUGGAAUUCUUCAGGGGUACAGUGUUUUGAGUUUGGAAUUCUUAAGGGGUAAAUGAUUUUGAGUUUGGAAUUCUUCAGGGGUAGGGUGUUUUGAGCUUGGAAUUCUUCAGGGGUACAGUGUUUUGAGCUUGGAAUUCUUCAGGGGUAAAGUGUUUUGAGCUUGGAAUUCUUCAGGGGUAGAGUGUUUUGAGCUUGGAAUUCUUCAGGGGUAAAGGAUUUUGAGCUUGGAAUUCUUCAGGGGUAUAACUAUGAAAAACAUGUAUCCUCGACAGGGGGGGUACGGAUAUUAAAUGGAAUAGCCCAAUA
rnacentral:lncRNA from 1 species